UCAGGCAUCUGUGAGAGUUGUAAAGACUCCCGGCGGUGAAGGAUGAGCCCGCGGCCUAUCAGCUUGUUGGUGAGGUAACGGCUCACCAAGGCGACGACGGGUAGCCGGCCUGAGAGGGCGACCGGCCACACUGGGACUGAGACACGGCCCAGACUCCUACGGGAGGCAGCAGUGGGGAAUAUUGCACAAUGGGCGAAAGCCUGAUGCAGCGACGCCGCGUGAGGGAUGACGGCCUUCGGGUUGUAAACCUCUUUCAGCAGGGAAGAAGCGAAAGUGACGGUACCUGCAGAAGAAGCGCCGGCUAACUACGUG
rnacentral:rRNA from 1 species